UACGUAGGGUGCAAGCGUUGUCCGGAAUCAUUGGGCGUAAAGCGCGCGUAGGUGGCUUCGUAAGUCCGUUGUGAAAGUCAAAGGCUCAACCUUUGAAUGCCGAUGGAUACUGCGAAGCUAGAGUACGGAAGAGGCGAGUGGAAUUCCUGGUGUAGCGGUGGAAUGCGCAGGAUAUCAGGAGGAACACCAAUAGCGAAGGCAGCUCGCUGGGACGUUACUGACACUAAGGCGCGAAAGCGUGGGGAGCGAACAGG
rnacentral:rRNA from 1 species